rnacentral:rRNA from 1 species
AGCAGUCGCCGCGGUAAUACGUAGGUCCCGAGCGUUGUCCGGAUUUAUUGGGCGUAAAGCGAGCGCAGGCGGUUAGAUAAGUCUGAAGUUAAAGGCUGUGGCUUAACCAUAGUACGCUUUGGAAACUGUUUAACUUGAGUGCAAGAGGGGAGAGUGGAAUUCCAUGUGUAGCGGUGAAAUGCGUAGAUAUAUGGAGGAACUCCGGUGGCGAAAGCGGCUCUCUGGCUUGUAACUGACGCUGAGGCUCGAAAGCGUGGGGAGCAAACAGGAUUAGAUACCCCUGUAGUCCCUGUCUCUUAUACC